rnacentral:rRNA from 1 species
AGCGAACGUUCGCGGCGGGCCUAACACAUGCAAGUCGAACGCGAAAGCCCUUCGGGGUGAGUAAAGUGGCGCACGGGUGAGUAACGCGUAGGUAAUCUACCUUCCGACGGGGGAUAACUA